ensembl:snRNA U6 U6 spliceosomal RNA
GUGCUCUCGUCAGCAGUACAUAUACUAAAAUUGCACAUACAGAGAUGAGCAUGGCCCAUGUGCUAGGAUGACACACUAAUUUGUGAGGUUUUCCAUAACUUU